rnacentral:lncRNA from 1 species
GCUGGCGGGCCAGCAAGCUUUGGGACCUGCCUGCUUCUGUUACCUAAUGCUGAGGGACAGGUGCAAGCAGCUGAGGUUGACAUCUGAACUCAGCUCUUCCUGUUCAAAAGGCAAGUGCUCUUACCUACUGAUCCAUCUCUCCAACCUCUAAUCAUCAAACUUUUAACAUUUAUAUUAUUCAAUAAUGAUUAUAUUAUUUAAUAUUAUAUUGCAAGCAUUCUACACUCAAUGAAAAUACCACAGUGUGGUAUGCUUCUGCCCAAGUUUUCAUGAACUGUAUACCAGCCUCAUAUCCAGCCUGUCCAGAGGAAACAAUACCAUCCCAACCCCCUCCCUUUCUUCUCUUUUUGGAUUUGCAAGUGUUUGUUAGUGGUUGGGUACUUCUGGAAAAUAUUCUGCUACACACGGUGAGGUUUUUGGUUUAUGUUUUUAUUUUCUUAAGGUCCAAUUCAUUCUCAGGGUUUAAAAUUAAAAUUAGUGUCAUAUUUUUAUUUUAUUCUUUGAAUUAAGAAACUCAUUUGGUUUUGGUUUAUCUUGACUGAUCCGAAAGUUAGACAACAUCUCAGAGCUGGAACACUGCACAUUGGCUGCCCAUCGAAAGAUGCUCAGGUGUGCAAUUAUUUUGGCCGUCAAUUAUAACUGACAGUAUUGUCUUGCCUCCAAAUCUGCGUUCGCUUCUCCGAAAGCAGACUGUGAAGAACUUACUUGUCUAAACAGAAGUGUGAUUUGUGAAAAGGCAUGUGUCUGUGAGUGAGAUUGCUAGUUUACUCCCAGUAUCUAUUCUCUUCAGAAAGUAAAAGAAAUCCCUGAAUACUAGAA